AACGAACGCUGGCGGCAGGCUUAACACAUGCAAGUCGAACGCCCCGCAAGGGGAGUGGCAGACGGGUGAGUAACACGUGGGAACCUUCCUCGAUGUACGGGACAACUCAGGGAAACUUGAGCUAAUACCGUAUACGUCCGAGAGGAGAAAGAUUUAUCGCAUUGAGACGGGCCCGCGUCGGAUUAGCUAGUUGGUAAGGUAACGGCUUACCAAGGCAACGAUCCGUAGCUGAUCUGAGAGGAUGAUCAGCCACACUGGGACUGAGACACGGCCCAGACUCCUACGGGAGGCAGCAGUGGGGAAUCUUGGACAAUGGGCGCAAGCCUGAUCCAGCCAUGCCGCGUGAGUGAAGAAGGCCUUCGGGUUGUAGAGCUCUUUUGUCAGGGACGAUAAUGACGGUACCUGAAGAAUAAGCCCCGGCAAACUUCGUGCCAGCAGCCGCAGUAA
rnacentral:rRNA from 1 species